GACGAACGCUGGCGGCGUGCCUAAUACAUGCAAGUAGAACGCUGAAGACUUCAGCUUGCUAAAGUUGGAAGGGUUGCGAACGGGUGAGUAACGCGUAGGUAACCUGCCCACUAGCGGGGGAUAACUAUUGGAAACGAUAGCUAAUACCGUAUAACAGCAUUUAACACAUGUUAGAUGCUUGAAAGGAGCAAUUGCUUCACUAGUGGAUGGACCUGCGUUGUAUUAGCUAGUUGGUGGGGUAACGGCCCACCAAGGCGACGAUACAUAGCCGACCUGAGAGGGUGAUCGGCCACACUGGGACUGAGACACGGCCCAG
rnacentral:rRNA from 1 species